ensembl:lncRNA
GUGGACUUUCCGGUUCAUGAUGGAUUGGAGUUUUUCAAGGAAACUUAUCCAUCUCAGGGCCUGGGUUGAAGGUGGGACAUAACCAGGCCUCUUGAGAAUCAAAUUGUUGUUGAGGGAAAAGCAGGAAGUACUCCCAGACCUUCACUGUGUUUUCAUCCGUUACAAGCUCAUCCACGUCUGACCUUGGCUUCUUCAUACCGUGCUGAGGCCUGUAGUGGGCCGUGAAGGAGGGGACAAAAAUUUUUUUCAUGAAAAGGAAUUGAUGUUUUCAAAACCAAAAUAAUUGUUUUGUUUGUAUAAUAUUUCUUUAAUUUUCUCCAAUGUGUGGACUGUUCUGGACCCUUCAGAUGGAGGAGAUGAAUGGAAGUGGCCACAGUCACACUUAGAGAGAAUAGUUCACCAGAGAUGCUGACGAAUCUAAGGUGCAGGCUGGCGGCCCUGAGGAAGCUGGCGCUGACCGAGGGGAGAGACGUGGUGACAGAGCGCUGGGGUUGGUGGGAGACCACAGGCCCGUGUGGGAACUUGCUCUGAACUGAGUCCCGGUUCCCCGGUGCCAUCAGCCCGCCUUCCUCCUGCGCGCGCGUGGAGAAUGGUACUGUGUUAAGCCAGAACUUGCUGGGUGUUUCAGGACUCAGUGGUCUUGGAGGAUGUGGCUGUGGCCUUCAGCCCAGAGGAGUGGGCUUUGCUUGAUGUGGCUCAGAGGAGCCUCUACAGAGAUGUCAUGCUGGAGACCUUCAGGAACCUGGCCUCCAUAGGUGAGGGGCACCGAUCCUUCACGUCCUCUGCAGAGCGCAAGUAUCCCCAAGCUGCUGAGCGGGUUUCAGGACUUGGGCUGAACGGUGGGAACCUACUGCUGAGGAAGGCAGACAGGGUCGCGUUACUGUGGAGCCCACCGUGGGACAGCUUUCUUGUGAGAAAACUGGGGAUGCCAUAGCACCAGAGGUCAGCGCAGGAACCAGGGACCAUGUCUGCGGUGAGUGACACACAUUGGAGGAAGCAGGUCUCAGGAGAGAGAGCUGAGACAUCACUGUGCAUGUGUGUCUGUGUGUGCAGACACGUGCCAGGCCUUCCAGUCACAGAGCUUCACAGGACAGACGGCAUGUGGUGGAGAGGCCCUCAGAAAAUCGUGACGGUGGUGCGCGUGGAGAAGCCGACCGGACUGCCAGGCUUACUGUGCAGGAGAGGCUUCCUGCGGGGGCGAAGUCCUACGGCUACAGCAAGCUUGCCAAAAUCAUGGCUUCUUCAUCUGAAAAAGCCACUGUGGGUUCUUCCUCACUAAAGGCUCCCACAGCAUUGCCUCAGCGUGGACUAAAGCCCUAUUGAUGUGAGGAACGUGGGAGAACUUUUAGUUGUUACUCAUCCUUCAGGGCACACGUAAGAGCUCACACUGAAGAAAACCCUACGUGUGUAAAGAAUGUGGAAAAGCCUUUAUAUAUUUCUCCAAACUCAGAGUCCACGUAAGAACUCGCCCUGGAGAGAAGCCUUAUGAGUGUGAGAAGUGCGGGAAAACCUUCAGAUCGCCCUCAAACCUCUGGACGCACAGAGAAACUCAUUUGGUCGAGAAACCCUAUGCUUGUAAAGAAUGUGAGAAAGCCUUCUCUUCUCCCUCUUCUCUUAGAAAACACGUGAAGGUUCACGGUGCAGAGAGAGCCUGUGAAUGUAAGGAGUGUGGAAAAGCCUUCCUCCAUUCUUUUU